rnacentral:misc_RNA from 1 species
GAUGAAGAACGUAGCGAAAUGCGAUAAGUAGUGUGAAUUGCAGAAUUCAGUGAAUCAUCGAAUCUUUGAACGCACAUUGCGCCCCUUGGUAUUCCAUGGGGCAUGCCUGUUCGAGCGUCAUUUGUACCUUCAAGCUUUGCUUGGUGUUGGGUGUUUGUCUCGCCUUUGCGUGUAGACUCGCCUUAAAAUAAUUGGCAGCCGGCGUAUUGAUUUCGGAGCGCAGUACAUCUCGCGCUUUGCACUCUUAACGACAGCGUCCAAAAGUACAUUUUACACUCUUGACCUCGGAUCAGGUAGGGAUACCCGCUGAACUUAAGCAUAUCAAUAAGCGGAGGA